CGACAGGGAACAGAGCCACAUGCGUCGCAUCAGUCAGCUGUGCAAAAGGUGGAUUAUUUAUAACUUAACUCUCAGAGCACGGAAGGCUCUGCGAUGAUGGAUGGGGCCCGCGGAUAGCGGUCAUGCAUGCCAGGUAGUGGCCCUGUGUCCAGAGGUAGAGAAGAAAUAAUCAAUAACUUUACAUGUGCUGCCCACACCGCUGAGUAAACUCAUAGCCACUGGGCCUGGGCAAAGUAAUAAACAAGUUAUGUUCAGCGGUCCAGGCUGUUGUUGUUAUGAGUUUCAGCAGGUAUGUGUGGACUUCGGCGAAACAACAGAAGCUUUGACGGGAAGGAGACGGUCCACGAUUAACUUCACAUGACCGGAUGUGGGACCCUGAAAGAAUGAAAAAGGUGAAUGAGAUGCAUUGAAGGAUGCUUAAAUGAACCCAGAAAGGACUCCCUCUCGUAAACAAACGGCGGCGCAA